rnacentral:rRNA from 1 species
AGGACGAACGCUGGCGGCGUGCUUAACACAUGCAAGUGGAGCGACGAACCAGGGCUUGCCCUGGGGCAGAGCCGCGAACGGGUGAGUAACACGUGGGUUACCUGCCUCGAUGACCGGGACAACCCGAGGAAACUCGGGCUAAUACCGGAUGUGCCCGCAAGGGGAAAGGAAGCUUCGGCCUCCGCAUCGAGAUGGGCCCGCGGCCCAUUAGCUUGUUGGUGAGGUAACGGCUCACCAAGGCUUCGAUGGGUAGCUGGUCUGAGAGGACGAUCAGCCACACUGGGACUGAGACACGGCCCAGACUCCUACGGGAGGCAGCAGUGGGGAAUCCUGCGCAAUGCGCGAAAGCGUGACGCAGCAACGCCGCGUGGGGGAAGAAGGCUUUCGGGUGUAAACCCCUUUCAGUUGGGACGAAGCUUCUCCGGUGAAUAGCCGGACGGAGUGACGGUACCUUCACAAGAAGCACCGGCUAACUACGUGCCAGCAGCCGC